UACAGAGGUCUCAAGCGUUGUUCGGAUUCAUUGGGCGUAAAGGGUGCGUAGGCGGCGGGGUAAGUCGGAUGUGAAAUCCCGGGGCUCAACCCCGGAACUGCAUUCGAUACUGCCUUGCUAGGGUACUGGAGAGGAGACUGGAAUUUACGGUGUAGCAGUGAAAUGCGUAGAUAUCGUAAGGAAGACCAGUGGCGAAGGCGAGUCUCUGGACAGUUACUGACGCUGAGGCACGAAGGCCAGGGGAGCAAACGGG
rnacentral:rRNA from 1 species